GAUGAACGCUGGCGGCGUGCCUAAUACAUGCAAGUCGAGCGAACAGACGAGGAGCUUGCUCCUCUGACGUUAGCGGCGGACGGGUGAGUAACACGUGGAUAACCUACCUAUAAGACUGGGAUAACUUCGGGAAACCGGAGCUAAUACCGGAUAAUAUAUUGAACCGCAUGGUUCAAUAGUGAAAGACGGUUUUGCUGUCACUUAUAGAUGGAUCCGCGCCGCAUUAGCUAGUUGGUAAGGUAACGGCCUACCAAGGCAACGAUGCGUAGCCGACCUGAGAGGGUGAUCGGCGACACUGGAGCUGAGACACGGUCCAGACUCCUACGGGAGGCAGCAGUAGGGAAUCUUCCGCAAUGGGCGAAAGCCUGACGGAGCAACGCCGCGUGAGUGAUGAAGGUCUUCGGAUCGUAAAACUCUGUUAUUAGGGAAGAACAAAUGUGUAAGUAACUAUGCACGUCUUGACGGUACCUAAUCAGAAAGCCACGGCUAACUACGUG
rnacentral:rRNA from 1 species